GGAUCUGCACCUGGGCCCUUGUAACCUUGGGCUUUAAAUUCUGAGAAUCAGCAAUUAAUUUUGAUGACUCUGCUCUACUCUGAGUUGAGGGUUCCCAAGGGCCUUGGUUUGCCAGUAGGUUGGAUGACUUCUGGAGAGACUUCCUGGGUUCCAGGAGCAACCACUAUUGGUGUUGGAAGUGAAGGGACCUGGCAGGAUUCCUUCUUGGUGGCUGUUCUUGGAGCCUGGGCAUUGUACACAUGGCUGCAAAAGUCACUGCUUUUAUUUUUACAAAGUGGAAUCUGUCACACAGGACUGUUUAAAAGUUCACUGAGUUUAAUGCUGGGAGGAUAUGCCCAGGAUAUACAGGUUUGUCAUGAGGAGACGGGAUCCAGCCUUCCACACCCUUUUUCCCAUCAUGGCAGGACCUGAGAAACAAGAGCCACAGUCUUUAGCUACCUAGACAAAGAAGUCCCUGCCCAGCUUUGCCAUGUCAUCUGCCACCUUCCCCCAUAUGUGCUACCUUUUAGCAAACUACCGACAUGUACACCCCCCUCCCCAUGAUAAAGAUGGUCUCUAACAGUUGUGGAGGAAGUUGAAAUGGACAAAAGACACCAAAUUGAGUUGUGAGACAACCAUCCUGGAUCCCUGGCAGAGGGCAAGUGGCUGAGAACUUGCCACCUACAUGAGGAAGGCAUUGAGAGGGCUGUGAAAUGAGGGGGUCAGAAAGACGAUUCUUGAAGAAUCUGCUUGUUUGGGACUCUGACCUUCCCUAAAGAGGCAUAAUAGAGA